GGACGGGUGAGUAACGCGUGAGAAUUCACCUUUAGGUGGGGAAUAACUUUUGGAAACGAUAGCUAAUGCCCCAUAGACUCGAAAGAGAAAAAAGAGCAAUCUGCCUAAAGAGAAGCUCGCGGCUGAUUAGCUAGUUGGUAAGGUAAUGGCUUACCAAGGCGACGAUCAGUAGCUGGUUUGAGAGAACGAUCAGCCACACUGGAACUGAGACACGGUCCAGACUCCUACGGGAGGCAGCAGUGGGGAAUUUUCCGCAAUGGGCGAAAGCCUGACGGAGCAAUACCGCGUGAGGGAUGACGGCCUUUGGGUUGUAAACCUCUUUUAUCAAGGAGGAAGUUCUGACGUGUACUUGAUGAAUAAGCAUCGGCUAACUCCGUGCCAGCAGCCGCGGUAAGACGGAGGAUGCAAGUGUUAUCCGGAAUCACUGGGCGUAA
rnacentral:rRNA from 1 species